rnacentral:rRNA from 1 species
UACAGAGGGUGCAAGCGUUAAUCGGAAUUACUGGGCGUAAAGCGUGCGUAGACGGUUACAUAAGUCGGGUGUGAAAGCCCCGGGCUCAACCUGGGAAUUGCAUUCGAGACUGCGUAGCUAGGGUGCGGAAGAGGAGAGCGGAAUUCCCGGUGUAGAGGUGAAAUUCGUAGAUAUCGGGAGGAACACCAGUGGCGAAGGCGGCUCUCUGGGCAAUGACCGACGCUGAGACGCGAAAGCGUGGGAAGCAAACAGG